GAUUUGAGCACUGUCUCGGCAAUGCACCCGGUGAAAUUGAAGUACCAGUGAAGAUGCUGGUUACCCGCGCCAGGACGGAAAGACCCCAUGGAGCUUUACUCCAGCUUGAUACUGGGAUUCGGUAAUGUAUGUACAGGAUAGGUGGGAGACGAAGAAGUGAUGACGUCAGUUGUCACAGAGUCGCUGUUGGGAUACCACCCUUGCGUUACUGGAUUUCUAACCUGCGGCCGUGAAACCGGCCGGGGGACAAUGUCUGGCGGGGAGUUUGACUGGGGCGGUCGCCUCCGAAAGGGUAUCGGAGGCGCUCAAAGGUUCCUUCAGGAUGGACGGAAACCAUCCGAAGAGUGCAAAGGCAGAAGGGAGCCUGACUGUGACACCGACGGGUGGAACAGGUACGAAAGUAGGACUUAGUGAUCCGGUGGUAUGAAAGUGGGAUUGCCAUCGCUCAACGGAUAAAAGCUACCCUGGGGAUAACAGGCUGAUCUCCCCCAAGAGUUCACAUCGACGGGGAGGUUUGGCACCUCGAUGUCGGCUCAUCGCAUCCUGGGGCUGUAGCAGGUCCCAAGGGUUGGGCUGUUCGCCCAUUAAAGCGGUACGCGAGCUGGGUUCAGAACGUCGUGAGACAGUUCGGUCCCUAUCCGGCGCGGGCGUAGGAUAUUUGAGAGGAUCUGUCCUUAGUACGAGAGGACCGGGAUGGACUGACCUCUGGUGUAUCUGCUGCGUUGUCAAACGCAAGAGGCAGGGUAGCCAUGUCCGGCAGGGAUAAACGCUGAAGGCAUCUAAGCGUGAAGCCCCCCUCAAGAUGAGAUAUCCCGCCCUACGGGGCAUAAGAUCCCUUGAAGAGUACAAGGUAGAUAGGCGGAAGGUGUAAGUGUGGUAACACACUCAGCUGAUCCGUACUAAUAGAUCGAAGGCUUGUCCUUAU
rnacentral:rRNA from 1 species